AUGUCACCAGCCCGUGGCACCCCCCCAGGGCCACACGGUACAGCAGGACCUGGGGGUCUGGCUGUCCUCCAAGGGGCUCCCGUGACUGUCUGCGUGCUGCGGGGUGAGCGGGAGCGGAGCCGCCUGGCCCUGCUCUCCCCAGCGCCGGCUGUCCCACGCUUUAAGGCUGGCGGAAUCUGGUCCUGCUGCCCCCGGCUCUCGGUAGCCACAGCGUGGCUCCUGGGGGGGUGCUUGGGGCUCGCUGCUGCCCGUGGGGGCUCUGGGCAGGGUGGGGGCAGCCACCGAACGGAGCGGGCUGGGCUGUGGGAUCCGGACCACAACGGGGCUGCCCGCCUCUGCUGGGCCCCUCUCGGCGCUGGCCUGGGUACCGAAGGCCCCGUUCGGAGCCGUUCGAGCGUUGCUCACCCUGGGCGAGCGCAAACCUCGGCCCCAACCCUUCCCUGCCCCGGCAGACGCCCGUGGGUGGGUUUCACUCUGCGCUGGGGCGAUCCGAUGCAGUGUUUGCUGUUGACCAUUUCCUUCCUGUUACCCCCUCAAGCUCCGUUUCGGCAACCCCUUCCUUCCUUGCUUCCUUCCUUCUGCCUGCUCCUGCCUCCGCGUGGCCCCGCUCCUCGUGCCACCCCGGCAGGGUGCAGCUGGGGACAGUCGAAGCGUCCGGCCUCGCGUGGCCUCUCCCCUGCCCUUGGGACGUCCCAGGACAGCCACGCUCAGUGCGGGGAGCUCCGGGGUGACCCCCAGAGGCUGCACGCCCUCAGCCACCUCUGUCCCGUCCACUGCUGGACGCGCAGGUGGCAGUGGGGCCGUGUGUCCCAGCAGGUCAGGGCCCCACAUUUUGGGGUGUGGGGUGGGAGAGGUGGAGAUGCCCAUUGGGGUGCUGCGGCUGGAUGUCCGUCCUGCCUCGGGGACAGGGACUGGUGCUGUGCUGGAGCCAGGCCUGGCCCAGGACAUGCCCUGUCCCUAUCCCAUGGGGAAUGGGGGUUUGGGCAUCCCCAGCCAGUGCCAUCACUGGUGGCACCAGCCACGGUGAGGACGGGUGAGGGUCGGUCCAUCGUUCCCGAAGGCCAGCACCCCGCUUCUUCAAUAGCCCCUUGCCCACUGGGUGAACCGAGAGCUCCGCGGGUGGGCACCCCCCGUGCCCCCCAGCUGGGGAGAGCGGCCCUGUGGGGCUGGCGACGGCGUGUGGGAGGUUGCAACACCCCCAGGGUGGGGGGGCCGCGGUGA
rnacentral:lncRNA from 1 species